rnacentral:lncRNA from 8 species
AAUGGUCAUUAUAAACCGGAUGGUUCAAGCCCUGAAUGCUGAUUGGUUGAAAGCCAUGGUAUAUCAGACCGUAUACCAUGGGUAUGACAAAACAUUUAUUUUUACUGCUCUAAUUACUUUGGUAACCAGUUUAUAAUAGCAGUAAGACACCUCUGGGGUUUGUGGUAUAUGGCCAAUAUAACACGGCUAAGGGCUGUGUCCAGGCACUCUGCAGUAUAUUGGCAAUAUACCACACCUUGUGUCUUAUUGCUUAAAUAUACCAGACUCCCUCCGGCCUAAUUGCUUAUUUAACCCCAUCAGUCACCAUACAAUGGUGUUUGUGAUGCUAAUGACAGUGAUAGGAUGGAAGGAGGAGGACAGGAGCGGAGGGAUGGAGAGGAAGAUUUAGUUGUGGCUGAUAAAAGCUGACCUGGCUCCAGUGGCUCCUCCUGUCAUUGUAGUGCUGUGAUACAAUAAUCCCCCUGCUCCCUCUUAUGUAACGGACUGGAGAACACAUGAAUAAUCCCAGCCUGCCUCUGUCUCUACACACACACACACACACGCAUACACAGUCAGUCAGUCAAUGAGUGGGCGCAGCGAGCAGCAGAAGCGGCCUGUUGUGGGGAUAGCCAUGGAGCUCUGGAUGCAUGGCAGCAGCACUGGUAAACUAUGGACAGGUAUCUGUGUUAUAGGGAGGUGAAAGGCUUGAGCACCAGGUCAUUGGAUUUACACCUAAUCCAGGGAUGAAGCCGUAUUGUGUUUGUAAUACUGCCAGGACAUCAUGCGAGGUCACAGGUCAAGUGACAUUGAGGAGCUUCUGAGACAGUCUCAUUCAGAGCUGCUGUGGAUCCAGAGACAGCUGUCAAUCAUCGCUGCCAGGAACUCCCAUCACCUGCAGGUCCAAGGGAAGCUGAGACAUGAGGUUACUCCCCUGCACUCCACAGUUCUUUCAUCCCACAACGUCAGCCUCUUCCGCCUUCUGGAGGAUAGAAACCGAGCCCUAAAGCUUGAGGUGGCUACCCUUCGCCAGGAGAAACAGCAGUAUAGAACACUGGUGAGUCUGGACUUUCUCCUCUCUCCUCCACACAACUAGCCCAGACAGCUCUCAAUCACUAAAAGGUGUUUUUGUUAUGGGCCAUCUAUUCUCCAGAGUACAGCAUAUCUGUGUUUUUGAUCAGUCUCCAUCUAUCCCGAUAACCCUCAGUUUGGGCCUUGAAGGCAGUGAUUUAUCAUACUGCAUUUAUUUUGAUCACAAUAUUGUUCUCAGAGUAUGUCUAUUGUAUAGACUAGCGAGUUUAUGUUUCGUUCCUUUAUGGUAAAUAGGUCUUUAUGGCAAGCUCUCAUGCAUAGCAGAUGUUGUGCGGUUUGUCGUGCCACUGUGUAUUGCGCAGUCAGGAGAGUGUGUAAGAUAUGGAGGUGAAGUGAAGAGCAGACGAGAGGAGAACAGGGGAAGGGGAGGAAGUCCUCUGGGGCUCACCUUGGUCCCAGGGGUGAAGGUGUAAAAGCCGUUGUCCUGGCAACAGGCCCACUAGCACGAUAGGGACAGAUUGGUAGAGGGAAACUGACAGACCAUAAUGGCUGCUUGCUGUUGCAAGCCUCACUUGUUCCAAAUCAAUUUCACUCAAUGGAGAUGUAAGGUGGAGAAGGCAGAGAUGGGUACUUACUGUACACACAAUAUUGGCUUGUCAUUGGCCAACACGCAUAGGCCUAAAUCCCAGAACAUUGCUUUCUGUCAUCCAUAUGACUUGAGGAUCAGCUGUCACGUCUGUCCAGUAUCUUAAUGCUCUCAUGGUAAUUUAAUGUGGUUCACUAUUGUGUAUGUACUAUAUGUGUAUGUGUUGGAGUGUUAACACAUCCACAUUGUUGUGUGCACGUUUCAUUUCGUAACUCCAUGUUCCUUGUGCAGGAGGAAUGCUUUCCCAUUCCAGCUGUGUGAAAUGUAAUGGAUGAUGAGUCACCAGAGGCUGGGUUGUUAGAGUGGGGAUGUGUUAAAGUGACAGCGACUGGUUUUCUAUGUGUUAUGACAUGCUGGAUUGUAUACAGGUAACUGCCAAAAUAAAGGAAAAAGUUAAUAGGGAGUUGGGCCACCAUGAACCGCCAGAACAGCUUGAAUGUGCCUUGGCACAUACACCCUUUAAAUCCCCUAUCCUGUUUUGAGACCCCUCUUUCCAAUUUACUGAGAUGUAUUCUUCUAGCCAUGUUAGCCAAAAUAAUGGGCAACUGGGCGUUUUAUACCUGACCCUAAUGUGUAUGGAUGCAUAUUCAAGAAAGCGUACAGUAUUAUAUAGAGCUAUUAUUGCAUGGAACUCCAUUCCAUCUCACAUUGCUCAAAUGAAAAACCUGGUUUCAAAAAACAGAUAAAGCAACACCUCACGGCACAACGCUUCUUAUUUGACCUAUAUAGUUUGUGUGUAUGUAUUAAUAUGUAGGCUACGUGUGCCUUUAAAAUGUAGUUCUGUCCUUGAGCUGUUCUUUUCUAUUAAUGUUCUGUAUUAUGUCAUGAUUUUUAUGGACCCCAGGAAGUGUAGCUGCUGCUUUUGCAACAGCUAAUGGUGAUCCUAAUAAAAUACCAAAUGACCCUAAGCAUGAUGGGAUGUUAAUUGCUGCUUUCAAUAUACUUUGUAUCCCUCAUUUACUCAAUUGUUUCUUUAUUUUGGCAGUUGUAUGUAUAUAUUAAUAAGAUUUAUAUAGCAACUUUCUACCUACUGAGGUAAUCAAAGCUUUUUACAUAGUAAGGGGGAAGCUCACCUGAUCCAUUGUGGCACCCACUUUGGUGAUGCACAGUAACCAUUUUGUGCCAGAACGCUCACCACAUAUCAGCUUGCAUGGUAGAGAGGUGAGGAGUUAUAUUUGCCACUUAGGAAUCAGUUGCCAGAUUGGUUAUAUUAUAUGUCAGUGACUGGGUUGCCAGAUUGGUAGUGUACUGUGACAGUGACUGGGAUCGAUUCCAUUGUGGGGAUUUGUUAUGACGGAGACUGGGU